rnacentral:tmRNA from 3 species
GGGGUCUUAAUGGUUUCGACGUGUUGGCGAAAACCAACCCGUGAUACAGGUCGAGAGUGAGUCUCCUCUCGUAAAUCCAAGGCUCAAAAAAAAGUAACUGCGAACAACAUCGUUCCUUUUGCUCGUUGUAAGGCUGCCACUGUUGCUGCCUAAUAACCUAUAACACAGGUUCGAGCGUCUAUAGUUUGACUCCGUUAAGGACUAUGGACAAACCCCAACGGAUGCUCUAGUAAGCUGUCUUUGGUCGGCUUGCUAGCUAAGAUACUACCAAAGUAUCCUGUCAUCCGGGAUAAUGGAUGGUUCCCGCCCAGAGGGUCAGAUGGGCUAAACCUGUGAAUGAACGGUAGGCAAAUACCCAAGGCGGACACGGGUUCGACUCCCGUAGACUCCAUUU